rnacentral:rRNA from 1 species
GACGAACGCUGGCGGCGUGCUUAACACAUGCAAGUCGAACGGUAAGGCUCCAGCUUGCUGGGGUACACGAGUGGCGAACGGGUGAGUAACACGUGGGUGACCUGCCCUGCACUUCGGGAUAAGCCUGGGAAACUGGGUCUAAUACCGGAUAGGACCGCACCAUGAGGGUGUGGUGGAAAGUUUUUUCGGUGUGGGAUGGGCCCGCGGCCUAUCAGCUUGUUGGUGGGGUAAUGGCCUACCAAGGCGGCGACGGGUAGCCGGCCUGAGAGGGUGGACGGCCACAUUGGGACUGAGACACGGCCCAGACUCCUACGGGAGGCAGCAGUGGGGAAUAUUGCACAAUGGGCGGAAGCCUGAUGCAGCGACGCCGCGUGGGGGAUGACGGCCUUCGGGUUGUAAACUCCUUUCACCAUCGACGAAGGGUUUCUGACGGUAGAUGGAGAAGAAGCACCGGCUAACUACGUG